AGGGCCGCUAAGGGAGGGGCGGCGCGGGGCUCUCGGCACCUGUGGCGCCGGGGGUGUCCCCAGCGGGGCGGUCCCGGCCGGGGUGUCCCCAGCGAGGCUGUUGCUGGUCCCCGGAGCUGUCGCUGGUCCCCGGUCCCCGCGCGUGUGUCCGUCCCCGUUGCCGGGGCUGCGCUCGGAGGCGCGGUGCCUGCAGGGGCUGUGCCCCCCGCCCCGCCGGCGGUGCUCGGGCUCGGCUCUCCGGCGGCGGGCUCUCCUGGUCUGCGCUGCCGGGCUCUGGUCGAAGCAGCCGCCUUUAACACCUACAUUUCCAGCUCAAGGUCUGUGCAUGUGUGCUGAUUUUCCAAUGAAGUACAUCCUGGUAACUGGUGGUGUCAUCUCGGGCAUUGGCAAAGGGAUCAUUGCAAGCAGCAUUGGCACCAUUCUGAAAUCAUGUGGUCUUCGUGUCACUGCAAUCAAAAUUGAUCCUUACAUAAACAUAGAUGCUGGAACCUUUUCACCAUAUGAACAUGGUGAAGUUUUUGUGUUGAAUGAUGGUGGAGAGGUUGACUUAGAUUUGGGAAAUUAUGAGAGAUUUUUGGACAUCAGUCUCUAUAAAGAUAACAAUAUCACCACUGGAAAGAUAUAUCAGCAUGUCAUUAACAAAGAAAGACAUGGUGAUUAUCUGGGAAAAACCGUUCAAGUUGUUCCACACAUUACUGAUGCAGUUCAGGAAUGGGUAAUGAAUCAGGCAAAAGUUCCUGUGGAUGAUGACAAAAAAGAGCCACAAAUCUGUGUAAUUGAGCUGGGUGGAACCAUUGGAGAUAUUGAAGGAAUGCCAUUUGUUGAAGCAUUUAGACAGUUUCAGUUCAAAGCAAAAAGAGAGAACUUCUGUAAUAUCCAUGUUAGCCUAGUACCACAGCCUAAUGCUACUGGUGAACAGAAGACAAAACCAACACAGAACAGUGUUCGAGCACUGAGGGGUCUAGGCUUGUCUCCAGAUUUGAUAGUCUGUAGAAGUGCAAAACCUAUAGAGAUGGCUGUGAAGGAGAAGAUUUCCAUGUUUUGUCAUGUGGAGCCUGAGCAGGUGAUAUUUAUUCAUGAUGUUUCUUCUACUUACCGAGUACCAAUCCUAUUGGAGGAGCAAGGCAUCCUUAAGUAUUUUAAACAGAGGCUAAAUUUACCUAUUGAUGACCAGCCAAGUGAUCUUCUAAUGAAGUGGAAGAAAAUGGCUUGCAGAUACGAGAGGUUGCUGAAGGUGUGUUCCAUAGCUCUCGUGGGCAAGUACACAAAACUAAGUGACUGCUAUGCAUCUGUUUUCAAAGCUCUGGAACACUCUGCACUGGCAAUUAAUUACAAACUGGAUUUAAUGUACAUAGAUUCAACAGAACUUGAACGUUCUACGGAAGCAGAGAACUCAGUGAAAUAUCAUCAGGCAUGGCACAAACUGUGCAAAGCAGAUGGCAUUCUGGUCCCAGGAGGUUUUGGAGUUAGGGGAACAGAAGGCAAACUCCAAGCUAUCUCCUGGGCAAGAACAAAGAAAAAACCUUUUCUUGGAGUUUGCCUGGGAAUGCAGUUAGCAGUUGUGGAAUUCGCAAGAAACUGUUUGAAUUGGGAAGAUGCAAAUUCUACAGAAUUUGACCCAGACACAAAAAACCCAGUUGUUAUUGACAUGCCAGAACACAAUCCUGGAGACAUGGGAGGAACAAUGAGACUGGGGAAGAGGAGGACUGUUUUUAAAACUGAAAAUUCUGUUUUAAGGAAGCUUUAUGGUGAUGAAAUGUUUGUAGAGGAGCGACACAGGCAUCGCUAUGAGGUGAACCCGGAAUUGACUCACUGCUUUGAAGAGAAAGGUUUGAAAUUUGUUGGUCAUGAUACAGAAGGGAACAGGAUGGAAAUUAUUGAACUGGAGAAUCACCCAUAUUUUGUGGGAGUUCAGUUCCACCCAGAAUUUUCCUCAAGACCUAUGAAACCUUCACCUCCAUACCUUGGACUGUUGCUAGCAGCAACUGGGACACUGAAUGCAUACCUGCAGCGUGGAUGUAAAUUGUCUCCAAGUGACAGCUACAGUGACCUAAGUGAUGACAGCUCUCCAGAAAAAGAGUUUCCUUAUUCGGACACAAGCUGAAAUGAUUAUAUGGGAGCACAGAAAUGGAUGAUGCUAUUGAGGAAAAAGCCUGACACUGUUCUAAGGUUUAAAAUAUGCCUUUUGGAUGGAAGGGAUCAGGAACCACAGGAGGCCACACAGAUGUGACUGAAAUGAAGUGGAAUCUGGAGUGCAAGAGGGAAGCUGGAUCACCAAACAGAGGCUGGGCAAGAAGAACUUUCUUUGAUGGCACCUCCAGUCAUGCUUUAUGUGAAGGCUUUUGAACCUACGAGGAUGAAAUUUCCCUCAGGCUCCCUGCUUUUAUUCCAGACAUGAAGCAAUGAGGAAACAGUUUUCAGGACAAAACCUCCCCACCAAAUUGACUGCCAAAAUAUCUGGUCAACAGCAAGGUGAUGUUUGAUGCCAGGUCAUUGUUCUGGAGACCCUUUCACUGAGCACACACCUUGCUGGCAGGGGAUGUCCCAUCUGGUUCUCUUGCUUCCUCAUCCAUGUUGCAUUUUACCCCAUUUCUCCAUCCCUUCAGGGAGUUUGGAUUGUUGUAUCCCUCCAUAAGGGAUUUUGAGUACUUUUUCUCAAGAAUUUAGAGACAUAUGCUAUAGUUUGUCGUGUGUUUCACCGCUGGUGAUUUUCUGGGGAACAGGCUGUGGGUGCCAACUCCAGAUUUGAAGGAGAAGUGUCUCUGAGGGCCUCAGCUGUGAUGACUGCUGAAUCCUUCUUUCCAUCACCAAGAUGUGGCACCAGUUUUGUGCCACCCCAUGCUAGAACCAGCAUACCCCAGAUUUUUUUGCUUCUGCCUUGUUUCAGAAAGUUUAAUGUACUGUAUUUCCCCUACCCUGAUAUCAAUGGCUUAUCCUGAAAGAGAAGGAGUAAGGUGAAGCAGAUCUAAAGAGCUGAGGAAUAAACACUCCUCACUCUCUCAUGAGGGAAAAUAUGUCUUUAUUGCCAGAAAACCACCUAAAAAUAUGGAGUAGAGAGCAAGUCAAAUCACCAUGAAAUGCAUUAACAAAACUCUUCAAGAAAAUCAAGGAGGAGAUGUUACUAUUAGGUCUGCAUUCAAAACAUAGGAGGAAUGCACUUGAAACUCUUAAAAUUACUCAGAACCCCUGAGUGUGCUGUGGAAGUGGUGCACAGAGAGAUCAAACUCCUCACAACAGAGAGGGGAAAGCAGCUCUUGAGAGUGUUUGUGGCAGAAUCCUGUUUCUAUUUCAAAUACUGUUUUGUCAAUAUGUUUGUGUUGCUGUUGUGCUCAGAAGUGCUUGCUUAGAGAAAGAUCCCUGCAUGCUGGGUGCUCACCAAAGGCCAUCCUUGCCCCCCACUGGACAAUAUAACAAGCUGACAAGCUUCCCUGGAUAGGCAUGGCUGGGGUGGUAGACAGCGAUUGCAGAAACAGCAGGUGCCUUCUCCCGUGUCAAAGUUUCAGCAGCCGUGCUGCAAAAGGCAACUUGAAAAGGACAGUGAAGUAGGCACAGAAUGGAGAAGCUGAGGAAAGCUUUUGUAGAAAUAAUUAUGUGCCAAAGCUCUUAGAUGUGCUUUAAAAACUCCAUCAAAACAAUGUUGCCUGGCUUCUGUGCAGUGACAGAUGAUGAAACAUUCAGUUGUGUUAGGUCAGAUAUGGCAGAACACAGGGAGAAAGCAGACUCCAUACAGUCUGGUUCCUGGGAUCUGGGGCUCCAAAGCCAUCAAGCAGGUGCUGGGCAGAAACUCCUUGACUUCCCUGCCAUAUAGCACUGCAGAAAUAUUUUUCCUACUUAAAAUCCAAUAAAAAUUGUAAAGACAACA